rnacentral:rRNA from 1 species
AUUGAACGCUGGCGGCAUGCCUUACACAUGCAAGUCGAACGGCAGCAUGAUCUCGCUUGCUAGAUUGAUGGCGAGUGGCGAACGGGUGAGUAAUACAUCGGAACGUGCCCUGUAGUGGGGGAUAACUAGUCGAAAGAUUAGCUAAUACCGCAUACGACCUGAGGGUGAAAGUGGGGGACCGCAAGGCCUCAUGCUAUAGGAGCGGCCGAUGUCUGAUUAGCUAGUUGGUGAGGUAAAGGCUCACCAAGGCGACGAUCAGUAGCUGGUCUGAGAGGACGAUCAGCCACACUGGGACUGAGACACGGCCCAGACUCCUACGGGAGGCAGCAGUGGGGAAUUUUGGACAAUGGGCGAAAGCCUGAUCCAGCAAUGCCGCGUGUGUGAAGAAGGCCUUCGGGUUGUAAAGCACUUUUGUCCGGAAAGAAAUGGCUCUGGUUAAUACCUGGGGUAGAUGACGGUACCGGAAGAAUAAGGACCGGCUAACUACGUG